CCUGGCUCAGAGUGAACGCUGGCGGUAGGCCUAACACAUGCAAGUCGAACGGCAGCACAGUAAGAGCUUGCUCUUACGGAUGGCGAGUGGCGGACGGGUGAGGAAUGCAUCGGAAUCUACUCUGUCGUGGGGGAUAGCGUAGGGAAACUUACGCUAAUACCGCAUACGACCUACGGGUGAAAGCAGGGGAUCUUCGGACCUUGCGCGAUUGAAUGAGCCGAUGCCCGAUUAGCUAGUUGGCGGGGUAAGAGCCCACCAAGGCGACGAUCGGUAGCUGGUCUGAGAGGAUGAUCAGCCACACUGGAACUGAGACACGGUCCAGACUCCUACGG
rnacentral:rRNA from 1 species